GACGAACGCUGGCGGCGUGCUUAACACAUGCAAGUCGAACGGUAAGGCUCCAGCUUGCUGGGGUACACGAGUGGCGAACGGGUGAGUAACACGUGGGUGACCUGCCCUGCACUUCGGGAUAAGCCUGGGAAACUGGGUCUAAUACCGGAUAGGACCGCACCGUGAGGGUGUGGUGGAAAGUUUUUUCGGUGUGGGAUGGGCCCGCGGCCUAUCAGCUUGUUGGUGGGGUAGUGGCCUACCAAGGCGGCGACGGGUAGCCGGCCUGAGAGGGUGGACGGCCACAUUGGGACUGAGACACGGCCCAGACUCCUACGGGAGGCAGCAGUGGGGAAUAUUGCACAAUGGGCGGAAGCCUGAUGCAGCGACGCCGCGUGGGGGAUGACGGCCUUCGGGUUGUAAACUCCUUUCACCAUCGACGAAGGGUUUCUGACGGUAGAUGGAGAAGAAGCACCGGCUAACUACGUGCCAGCAGCCGCGGUAAUACGUAGGGUGCGAGCGUUGUCCGGAAUUACUGGGCGUAAAGAGCUCGUAGGUGGUUUGUCGCGUCGUCUGUGAAAUUCCGGGGCUUAACUCCGGGCGUGCAGGCGAUACGGGCAUAACUUGAGUACUGUAGGGGAGACUGGAAUUCCUGGUGUAGCGGUGAAAUGCGCAGAUAUCAGGAGGAACACCGGUGGCGAAGGCGGGUCUCUGGGCAGUAACUGACGCUGAGGAGCGAAAGCAUGGGGAGCGAACAGGAUUAGAUACCCUGGUAGUCCAUGCCGUAAACGGUGGGCGCUAGGUGUGGGUUUCCUUCCACGGGAUCCGUGCCGUAGCUAACGCAUUAAGCGCCCCGCCUGGGGAGUACGGCCGCAAGGCUAAAACUCAAAGGAAUUGACGGGGGCCCGCACAAGCGGCGGAGCAUGUGGAUUAAUUCGAUGCAACGCGAAGAACCUUACCUGGGCUUGACAUAUACAGGAUCGCGCCAGAGAUGGUGUUUCCCUUGUGGCUUGUAUACAGGUGGUGCAUGGUUGUCGUCAGCUCGUGUCGUGGGAUGUUGGGUUAAGUCCCGCAACGAGCGCAACCCUUGUCUUAUGUUGCCAGCACGUUGUGGUGGGGACUCGUAAGAAACUGCCGGGGUUAACUCGGAGGAAGGUGGGGAUGACGUCAAAUCAUCAUGCCCCUUAUGUCCAGGGCUUCACACAUGCUACAAUGGUCGGUACAGUGGGUUGCCAGUCCGUGAGGGCGAGCUAAUCCCGCAAAGCCGGUCUCAGUUCGGAUCGGGGUCUGCAACUCGACCCCGUGAAGUCGGAGUCGCUAGUAAUCGCAGAUCAGCAACGCUGCGGUGAAUACGUUCCCGGGCCU
rnacentral:rRNA from 1 species